CCUACGGGGGGCAGCAGUGAGGAAUAUUGGUCAAUGGCCGGAAGGCUGAACCAGCCAAGCCGCGUGAGGGACGACUGCCUUAUGGGUUGUAAACUCUUUUUAUAAGGGAAGAAUAAAUGCCACGUGUAGCAUGAUGCCUGUACCUUAUGAAUAAGCAUCGGCUAACUCCGUGCCAGCAGCCGCGGUAAUACGGAGGAUGCGAGCGUUAUCCGGAUUUUUUGGGUUUAAAGGGUGCGUAGGUGGGUUUGUAAGUCUGGGGGGAAACGUCCGGGGCUAACCCGUGUUUUGCCAUUGAAAUGUUAUGGCUCGAGUACAGACGAGGUAGGCGGAAUGCGUAGAGUAGCGGUGAAAUGCUUAGAUAUAACGUAGAACACCGAUAGCGAAGGCAGCUUACGAGACUGCAACUGACGCUGAGGCACGAAAGCGUGGGUAGCAAACAGGAUUAGAUACCCCAGUAGUC
rnacentral:rRNA from 1 species